GACGAACGCUGGCGGCGUGCUUAACACAUGCAAGUCGAGCGGUAAGGCCCCUUCGGGGGUACACGAGCGGCGAACGGGUGAGUAACACGUGAGUAAUCUGCCCUUCACUUCGGGAUAACCACCGGAAACGGUGGCUAAUACCGGAUACGACCAGUCCUUGCAUGAGGUGCUGGUGGAAAGUCUUUUCGGUGGAGGAUGUGCUCGCGGCCUAUCAGCUUGUUGGUGGGGUAAUGGCCUACCAAGGCUUCGACGGGUAGCCGGCCUGAGAGGGUGACCGGCCACACUGGGACUGAGACACGGCCCAGACUCCUACGGGAGGCAGCAGUGGGGAAUAUUGGACAAUGGGCGAAAGCCUGAUCCAGCAACGCCGCGUGAGGGAUGACGGCCUUCGGGUUGUAAACCUCUUUCAGUAUCGACGAAGCGCCCUGUCGGGUGGUGACGGUAGAUACAGAAGAAGGACCGGCCAACUACGUGCCAGCAGCCGCGGUAAUACGUAGGGUCCGAGCGUUGUCCGGAAUUAUUGGGCGUAAAGGGCUCGUAGGCGGUUUGUCACGUCGGGAGUGAAAUCUUACAGCUUAACUGUGAACUUGCUUUCGAUACGGGCAGACUUGAGGCAUUCAGGGGAGAACGGAAUUCCUGGUGUAGCGGUGAAAUGCGCAGAUAUCAGGAGGAACACCGGUGGCGAAGGCGGUUCUCUGGGAAUGUUCUGACGCUGAG
rnacentral:rRNA from 1 species